AGCAGCCGCGGUAAUUCCAGCUCCAAUAGCGUAUAUUAAAGUUGUUGCAGUUAAAAAGCCUCGUAGUUGAAUUUUGGAUUCUUCCAAUUGGUCCAUCUUUUAGAUGAGUACUGGUUGUGUGGGGUCUAUCCGCCUGGUGAUACGUAAUGUCCUUUAUUGGAUGUUUCGGGUAGUCAGGACCUUUACCUUGAAAAAAUUAGAGUGUUUAAAGCAGGCUUAUGCCGGAAUACAUUAGCAUGGAAUAAUAGAAUAGGACGAAGUUGUUUUAUUUUGUUGGUUUCUAGGACAACCGUAAUGAUUAAUAGGGAUAGUUGGGGGCAUUAGUAUUCAAUUGUCAGAGGUGAAAUUCUUGGAUUUAUUGAAGACUAACUACUGCGAAAGCAUUUGCCAAGGAUGUUUUCAUUAAUCAAGAACGAAAGUUAGGGGAUCGAAGACGAUCAGAUACCGUCGUAGUCUUAACCAUAAACUAUGCCGACUAGGGAUCGGGCGAUGUUGUUUCCAUGACUCGCUCGGCACCUUA
rnacentral:misc_RNA from 1 species